GCAGCUUGUAGCUGCCCAAAUCAUGGAUUUUGCAUAUAUUGGCUCAAAGAUUGAACUGUAUAUGCAAGAUUAGGGCGAGUGUGAGUCAAGAAAUUCAAUGGACCUAAUAGAUGCCGGUAAAUAGUCGGAUUCGAUAACAAUUCCCUAGAUUCGGUGGUGAGCUUGAUAGUGGGAUCCAUGGGAGUGGAAACAGCUCUACCAGGAAGGUCUGGGUGUUCCGAUAUAAGAUCAAGAGCAAAUUUUCGUUGUGUGAUGAUCAAACCCUCUAGGAUGUGCAAGAUUUCCAAUCCAAGAAAGUAACUUGCUAACCCCAAAUCCUUUAUGCGAAACUCAUGGUUGAGAAAUGACUUAAGUUCUUCAAUUUCUUGUUGGUUGUUCCCAGUUAGCAGUAUGUCAUCAAUGUAUACUGCUAAGAGAGUCAUGAGUGAACCAGAGGCCUUGUAAAAAAGUGAAUAAUCAUUAAGUGUAGCAGUGAAACCUCGUCUACCCAAAGCUGCAGAUAAACGAGCAUACCAUUGGCGUGAUGCCUGCUUGAGCUCGUAGAGAGACUUCCUCAAGUGACAAACAACAUUAUCAGAAGGUGGAGAGAUGCUAGGAGGAAAUCUCAUGAAGACUUCUUCAUCCAAGUCUCCGUGUAAGAAAGCGUUAUUCACGUCUAAUUGAAAUAAAGGCCAGGAAUUCUUGACAGCAAUAACAAGAAUGUACCGGAUAGUAGUCAUCUUCACUACAGGGGAGAGGUUUAUUUCCCGGAGGCGAAGGGACAACUUACCAUGUGGAAUAGUAAAUAAGAGCUUGAAUUUCAUUUUCCAAGGCAAUUUUCCAGCCAGGAUGAAGUGCAGCUUCAUGCUCAUUCCACAAAUCUGAGGCUUUUUGAGAAUAGAGUAUACUCUCUGCAAUGUCCUUGCUCAAAGAAUUCAACAACCAUCCAAUGACCAUGUCAUUACAUCUUGACCAUUGCUCAAAAAGAGGUGAAACUGAAGCGUUCAAAUGAUAAGGAUGAGUUGGUGGUAGAACAUCAGUUACA